CCUACGUGGAGCAGCAGUGAGGAAUAUUGGUCAAUGGGCGCGAGCCUGAACCAGCCAAGUAGCGUGAAGGAUGACUGCCCUACGGGUUGUAAACUUCUUUUAUAAAGGAAUAAAGUGAUGCACGUGUGCCUUUUUGUAUGUACUUUAUGAAUAAGGAUCGGCUAACUCCGUGCCAGCAGCCGCGGUAAUACGGAGGAUCCGAGCGUUAUCCGGAUUUAUUGGGUUUAAAGGGAGCGUAGAUGGGUUGUUAAGUCAGUUGUGAAAGUUUGCGGAUCAACCGUAAAAUUGCAAUUGAUACUGGCAGUCUUGAGUACAGUUGAGGUAGGCGGAAUUCGUGGUGUAGCGGUGAAAUGCUUAGAUAUCACGAAGAACUCCGAUUGCGAAGGCAGCUUACUAAACUGCAACUGACAUUGAUGCUCGAAAGUGUGGGUAUCAAACAGGAUUAGAUACCCCGGUAGUC
rnacentral:rRNA from 1 species